CCAUGUCUUUUGCGCACUUGUUGUUUCCUGGGCGGGUUCGCCCGCCACCAGGACCAAACCAUAAACCUUUUUUUCUUAUGCAGUUUCCAUCAGCGUCAGUAAAAACAAUGUAAUUAUUACAACUUUCAACAACGGAUCUCUUGGUUCUGGCAUCGAUGAAGAACGCAGCGAAAUGCGAUACGUAGUGUGAAUUGCAGAAUUCAGUGAAUCAUCGAAUCUUUGAACGCACAUUGCGCCCUUUGGUAUUCCAAAGGGCAUGCCUGUUCGAGCGUCAUUUGUACCUUCAAGCUUUGCUUGGUGUUGGGCGUUUUUUUGUCUCCCUCUUUCUGGGAGACUCGCCUUAAAACGAUUGGCAGCCGGCCUACUGGUUUCGGAGCGCAGCACAUUUUUUGCGCUUUGUAUCAGGAGAAAAGGACGGUACUCCAUCAAGACUCUACAUUUUUCACUUUUGACCUCGGAUCAGGUAGGGAUACCCGCUGAACUUAAGCAUA
rnacentral:rRNA from 1 species